AGGAGAAAUUAGGAAGUUACUGCUAAUAAUUUUUUGUCAGUUUAAUUUUGACUUCUUCUU
rnacentral:tRNA from 1 species